rnacentral:rRNA from 1 species
UCCAACAGCCACACCACCCUGAAAACACCCAAUCUCGUCUGAUGUCAGAAGCUAAGCAGGGUAGGGCUCCGUUAGUACUUGGAUGGGAGACCGCCUGAGAAUCCUGGGUGCUGUAGGCU